rnacentral:rRNA from 1 species
AUUGAACGCUGGCGGCAUGCUUUACACAUGCGAGUCGAACGGUAACAGGUUAAGCUGACGCGUGGCGAACGGGUGAGUAAUGCAUCGGAACGUGCCCGGUCGUGGGGGAUAACGCAGCGAAAGCUGCGCUAAUACCGCAUACGAUCUGAGGAUGAAAGCGGGGGACCGUAAGGCCUCGCGCGAUCGGAGCGGCCGAUGUCAGAUUAGGUAGUUGGUGGGGUAAAGGCUCACCAAGCCGACGAUCUGUAGCUGGUCUGAGAGGACGACCAGCCACACUGGGACUGAGACACGGCCCAGACUCCUGCGGGAGGCAGCAGUGGGGAAUUUUGGACAAUGGGCGCAAGCCUGAUCCAGCAAUGCCGCGUGCAGGAAGAAGGCCUUCGGGUUGUAAACUGCUUUUGUACGGAGCGAAAAGGCCCUCUCUAAUACAGGGGGCUCAUGACGGUACCGUAAGAAUAAGCACCGGCUAACUACGUGCCAGCCGCCGCAGUAA